rnacentral:rRNA from 1 species
CAGCAGUAGGGAAUCUUCGGCAAUGGACGGAAGUCUGACCGAGCAACGCCGCGUGAGUGAAGAAGGUCUUCGGAUUGUAAAGCUCUGUUAUCAGGGAAGAACGGAUACAGGAGGAAAUGCCUGUAUAUUGACGGUACCUGAUCUAGAAAGCCACGGCUAACUACGUG